GGCUCGAUGGUUUAGUGGUAUAAUUCUCCCUUAGGGUGGGAGAGGUCCUGGGUUCGAUUCCCAGUCGAGCCC
rfam:Conidiobolus coronatus NRRL 28638 unplaced genomic scaffold CONCOscaffold_56, whole genome shotgun sequence.